rnacentral:lncRNA from 1 species
AGGUGCUCUGGAAGGGGGCGCGGCUGCCGCCUCCGAGGUCCUUGAGAUCGUUUUACUGCAAAACGCAACUCUGGUCACGCAGGGACCUGAGCGGACCACCUCGGCACUCUUCAAUUGGCCUCCCAGGACGGACUUCCGGCAAAGCCCCUGUGAGGACCCUGAAGCGUUUGCCAUGACAACCAUGGCGGGGCAAGUUCAAGCCGGGCCUCCUUUCUGCCUUGCCGGGCUUGGGGAUUGAGGGGCCUGGACCAAAGUCUGGAACCCGCAAUGUCCGCCACUGACCCUGGCGGAUGAUUGGACUGCCUUCGGUGGUACCUGAGAGGACCAGAAGAUGGUGUCAGAUCCUCGGGAGCUGGAAUUGCUGGCAGUUGUGUGUUGCCUGACAUCAUGAGUACUAGAAAGUUAACUCAGGUAUCUAUCUAUAAGAGCAGUAAGUGCUCUUAACCACUGAGCAGUGUCUCUAACCCAACAUGAUAGAUCUGUAUAUAUAAAUACAUAUAGAUAGGAAAUUAAGUUUGUUUUUAUGUUGUUUGUGUGUUUAUAAAUGCCAUGAGGUGUACCCAUAGAGACCAGAAGGGGGCAUCAGAUCCCUGCAACUGAAGUUACCUUGGUUGUCAGCCAUCCAUUGUGCUUGCUGGGAACCCAAACUCCAGUCUUCUGGAAGAACAGGAACUCUUAGCUGCUGAGCCAUCUCUUCAGCCCAAUAUGAUAUACUUUAAUGCCACAAACUGUGAACUUCAACAAAUUCACUUGGAGCCAGGAGGUGGUGGUACACAUCUUUAAUCCAAGCACUCAGAAAGCAGAGGCAGGCGAGUGGAUAUCUGAGUUCAAGGCCAACCAGAACUACUCAGAGAAACUUCGAAUUGAAAACCCAAACAAACAAACAAACAAAUCGAUUUGUUGGGACUACACUGUCUAAUGGUCUGUGUGUCUUUUCAGAAGAGUUCUUUGAGACCCCAAAGCUAGCACAGUGGAAGGAAGCAGAGAUUCGUCGGGGCAUGGUAGCAUCUACUGGCCAUGUCUUCCAGAUUGCAGUGGGAAUCUCAGGCAUCUCUUGAGACUGAGAAGAAACCCUUAAGGCAUCUUUUUGGCAAGUGGGCAAAUGGCAGUCCAGUGGCUUCAGCCCACUGAAGGUGAGCGGGGGGUGAACCUGAGAGUCACUUUUCAACCUGAGACUCUACAUCCUGCUCAACCAGUGACAGAUUGUGUUUCAUGAUUUACCGAGUCUUUGCAGACGUCUGGAGAACUC